GUGGGGAAUCUUGCGCAAUGGGCGAAAGCCUGACGCAGCCAUGCCGCGUGAAUGAUGAAGGUCUUAGGAUUGUAAAAUUCUUUCACCGGGGACGAUAAUGACGGUACCCGGAGAAGAAGCUCCGGCUAACUUCGCGCCAGCAGCCGCGGUAAUACGAAGGGGGCGAGCGUUAUUCGGAAUCACUGGGCGUAAAGGGCGCGUAGGCGGACAGCUUAGUCAGAGGUGAAAGCCCAGGGCUCAACCUUGGAAUUGCCUUUGAUACUGGCUGUCUUGAAUUUGGGAGAGGUGAGUGGAACGCCGAGUGUAGAGGUGAAAUUCGUAGAUAGUCGGAAGAACACCAGUGUCGAAGGCGACUCACUGGCCCAAUACUGACGCUGAGGCGCGAAGGCGUGGGGAGCAAACAGGAUUAGAAACCCGGGUAGUCC
rnacentral:rRNA from 1 species